rnacentral:rRNA from 1 species
UACGAAGGGGGCUAGCGUUGUUCGGAUUUACUGGGCGUAAAGCGCACGUAGGCGGAUUGUUAAGUCGGGGGUGAAAUCCUGGAGCUCAAUUUCAGAAUUGCCUUCGAUACUGGCUUUCUAGAGGCUGGAAGAGGUUAGUGGAAUUCCCAGUGUAGAGGUGAAAUUCGUAGAUAUUGGGAAGAACACCAGUGGCGAAGGCGGCUAACUGGUCCAGAUCUGACGCUGAGGUGCGAAAGCGUGGGGAGCAAACAGG